rnacentral:rRNA from 1 species
UACAGAGGGUGCGAGCGUUAAUCGGAAUUACUGGGCGUAAAGCGUGCGUAGACGGUCAAGUAAGUCGGGUGUGAAAGCCCCGGGCUCAACCUGGGAAUUGCAUUCGAGACUGCGUGGCUAGGGUGCGGAAGAGGGAAGCGGAAUUUCCGGUGUAGCGGUGAAAUGCGUAGAUAUCGGAAGGAACACCAGUGGCGAAAGCGGCUUCCUGGUCCGACACUGACACUGAGAGACGAAAGCUAGGGAGCGAAUGGG